UACGUAGGGGCCAAGCGUUGUCCGGAUUUAUUGGGCGUAAAGAGCGUGUAGGCGGCCAGGUAGGUCUGCUGUGAAAACUCGAGGCUCAACCUCGAGACGUCGGCGGAAACCAUCUGGCUAGAGUCCGGAAGAGGAGAGUGGAAUUCCUGGUGUAGCGGUGAAAUGCGCAGAUAUCAGGAAGAACACCCGUGGCGAAGGCGGCUCUCUGGGACGGUACUGACGCUGAGACGCGAAAGCGUGGGGAGCGAACAGG
rnacentral:rRNA from 1 species